rnacentral:tRNA from 1 species
GGCUCAACGGUAGAGCAGCUGACUUGUAAUCAGCAGGUUGUAGGUUCGAUUCCUAUC